UGAUGUUAAAAAUACACGAUGGAUACUUAAAUAUUGAUGUUUACCUUUUUUAUUUUGAUAUUUUAUGGUGUAGAUUAACCUAAGUUAAUAUAACAAUCAAAACAGUAGGGCAUGGAAUGGCAGAUCAACAUUGUUAAUUUUCGGAUAAACUUUCUGGAUUUUGCCAAGUGAAGAACUCCAAUGAUAUACAUGUAGGGGCAUGUGUCCAAAGCUGAUCCACAUCAUAACAUACUGAUUGGGAAUAAUGACAUAGUACCAAAAGAUGUGCUUAUACUGUAAUUAGCAGAUCUUCACAAAUGAACCUGGCAGAUCCUGGUGCAACCUUACCUUACCAUGUUUACAUCUAACCGUCAGUUUGAGCUGUGUGUGGGUGGUAACACGGACUAUAUACAUGUAUUGCCCAGUAAUUGUCUUGUGAUGGACCUUUUUAACAUAUCAAGUAUUUAAUUGAAGACUUAAGAGGUCAGUUUUCAUCAAAGAAUUUAAAAAUACAGUUUUUUUUGUAAGGGUGAAUAUGUGGUUAUAAUGGCAUUGAUGUAUAUCUUGUGUCUGUUUUUUAAUCAGCCUUUCAUCCAUAAUUAUGAAUAUUAAGCAUGAUAAAGUAUUUUAAGGGAAUAUAAUGUAGAAAUGUUAUGUUGUUUCUGCACAAGCUUUUGAAUACAAGAAAUUCUAUGUUCACUCAGCACUGUUUACACAUUGUCAAUGAAUUUGCUUGUUUUAGUUUCCAAAUCUGUCUGUCUCUAGCUCCCUGUGAAUAAUGUACUUUUUUACAUUGCAUCCAUUGAUUUUAAAUGGGGUGUAUUAUGCACAUGUCACACUUUUUUUACAAAAACAUCAAGGUCAAAGGUAAAAUAUAUGGGUCAAAAUCAUAACUUUUGCAAUAUUGAAGAUAGCAACUUGAUAUUUGGCAUGCAUGUGUACCUCAUGGAGCUGCACAUUUUGAGUGGUGAAAGGUCAAGGUCAUCCUUCAAGGUCAAAGGUCAAAUAUAUGGGUCAAAAUCGUUCAAAAAGGGACAUUGUGUAUUGUGUUUUACAAACACACACCUUGUUAUGUUAUGUAAUGGCCUUUCAAUCAUCUUAUUUUUUUAUGAAAUACGCUGGAUUUGUCUUUUCAUUUCAUCCAUGAUAUCAUUAUGUUUUUUUGCCUGUUACAUUUUGCGGCCCAAUGUACGUGUUAAGCAGUUUAACCAUUUACAACGGCAUUUGUGGCGAGGCUAACAGUCAUAAGGUUGGUCAUUACAUGCACUGCAUAUCAUAAAAUCGUUUGGCUUUUAUUGACAAAAUUUGCGAAAACGGUGUUAAAGACUAAACAUCACAAGUGUCGCAACUUCGUCCCCACCUGGGAAUUCAGAGCGCAAAUUUCAGAUUAUAAUGUGUCAGAUUUUACACUUGUAUAAUGAAGAAGUCAUCUCUUGACAAGAUGGUGAUGUCCUGAUCUCGUUCCAAGCCACACAUGAUACUUGUUUUGCUUUUAAUCAAAAUCGGUGUUAAAUAGUAAACAUAAAAAGUGUCACAAAUUCGUCCCUAUUGAGAAAUCAGAGCUAAAAUUUCUGAUUUUAAUUUGUCAGAUUUUGCACUUUUAUAAUGAAGAAGUCAUCUCUUGACAAGAUGGUGGUGUCCUUAUCUCGUGCCGAGCCACAAAUGAUUCUUGUUUUGGUUCAAAGCAACAUAUAAACGAAGAUUUUUUUAAUGUACUUUGUUUUAAAUUCUGUUCUUUGAAAAAUGCAUGUACUUUGUUUUAAAUUCUGUUCUUUGAAAAAUGCAUAAUAAGUCAUCAACUAUUAUAAUUUUAUGAAAAUA